rnacentral:rRNA from 1 species
AUGCACCCCACUCGCCACCUUUUCCGGAUCAAACAAAAAAUGGUACACCUCCCACCCCAUCCCAUGCACGCACGCACGUACGCACCCCACAUAACUCCCUCCCUUCCGCACGCACACCUCCUCGCAUUCUUCAGUUUCACCGCACAAGAGUCGAGGCGCCAUCUACAUGCACGCGCAACGGGCCAAACGACAACGACGAUGAUCCCUUCCGCCACGCUCCUCCACGCUGCAUGGAUCACGGCCGCCGUCGCCGUCUGCCUCGCGCUCUGCACCAUCCACUCCCGCAAGUCCUCCUCGUCGCUCCGCCGCGGCUCUUCACGCCCCGGGCCGGCUCGCAGCUCCACCGCUGCCGCCAGGACCAGCGAGGAGUGCAACGGCGGCGGCGGCGGUAUUGGCGCGGCAGCUGGCGCCACGCCGGCUGCGAGGGUGUCCCCGACGCCAAGCGACACGGCCAAGAGCUGCUGCGUUAACGUAGGCGAUCUGCACGAGCCGGCGCGCGUGGGGGACGACGUCAUGCAGGUCGAUGUCAGCGCCGUUGCCGGCCCGGUCACGGUCAUCGACGUCGGGACGCACGGGCCGAUCGCGCCGGUGUUCCUGGUGCCGGACCCGAUGCCACCGCGGCGAAGCCUUUCGGUGAAGCACAUCCGGUUCGCUGAGCGACUGGAGAGGAUACGGUCGAGGCGGUGGGGAGGAGACAACGACGACGCGGAGGCCCAGCUGGACGACACGACGCUGUGGACCAAGACGAUCCUUCUCGGGGAGAGGUGCCGCGUCCCAAGCGGGGGCGGGGGCGGGUACGGCGGCGGCGGCGACGACGCGAUGGGCUACAGGCCGAGGCAUCCCCGGUCGGU